CUCGUAGCUUGCUAUGAGAACGGUUAGUGGCAGACGGGUGAGUAAUGCAUAGGAAUCUACCUAGUAGUAUGGGAUAGCCACUAGAAAUGGUGGGUAAUACUGUAUAAUCCCUGCGGGGGAAAGAUUUAUCGCUAUUAGAUGAGCCUAUGUUAGAUUAGCUAGUUGGUAGGGUAAAGGCCUACCAAGGCAGUGAUCUAUAGCUGGUCUGAGAGGAUGAUCAGCCACACUGGAACUGAGAUACGGUCCAGACUCCUACGGGAGGCAGCAGUGGGGAAUAUUGGACAAUGGGCGCAAGCCUGAUCCAGCUAUGCCGCGUGAGUGAGGAAGGCCUUAGGGUUGUAAAACUCUUUCAGUGGGGAAGAUAAUGACGGUACCCACAGAAGAAGUCCCGGCAAACUCCGUGCCAGCAGCCGCGGUAAUACGGAGGGGGCAAGCGUUGUUCGGAAUUAUUGGGCGUAAAGGGCAUGUAGGCGGUUCGGUAAGUUAAAGGUGAAAUGCCAGGGCUUAACCCUGGAGCUGCUUUUAAUACUGCCAGACUGGAGUCCGGGAGA
rnacentral:rRNA from 1 species